CUGAGCCAGCCAGGUGCCCCUAAACUACUGUUACAUAGUGACAUGGUUUUCACCUUCAGCCAUCAAGGCGGUUGAAAAAGAAAAUAAUUUGUCCCUCUGGAUUCUAGUUAUGGCUCUGCACCCCAGCACCUGUAAACUCAAAGUCAAAACUCCAUGGAUGCCUGGAUUCCAAGAUUAAACCUCUACUCACAAGCAAAAGGGCCUUAAACUUCAUCUGUGGACUCUAAAAAAUGCAAAAGAGCUGGAGAGAAAUGGCUACCUGCUGUGGAAGAACAGGCCCACCCUGUAUCCUCAGCCCUCUGCUCUCUCCCCUUUGGGCCUAAAACUAUGUGUGAACAAGAAGAGCAGCUGUCACUAUAUGUAUGAAGGCACCCAGCUGGGGGUGGACAACAUCAAGACCUGCAUCCAGAAGACAUUUUGUGGCUCCAAGGAAGGACAAGGUCCUAGGCAUGAGGUUGCAGGGGAAUAAAUUCCCCCCAGCUGCAUCCAAAUGGGAUGCUUGACCAGACUGUCAACUUGCUCCCUGGUAUUACCACCCCAUACUGAAAAGCAAUCCACAUAAGGAGCUCCAGCACCAGCAAAAGGUAAUGCAAAGAAGAGAGAGAGAAAAGGCUUCCGGGUUCACCUUUCCCACCAUCUAGGGAGAGCACUAGAGAAGGAAGGUCAGCAUAAACAGAAGGACUCCUUUCUCUAAACUAAAAACAGAAGAGAUAGGCAUUCCUCUUGCUGCAUGUGGAUGAAUAGAGAUGAAUUCCAGAAGAAUAAGAGAAAAAGGAAUGUCAGAGUUGAAAGUGAUGUUUUACCCCCGGUCCAUCCUCAUUCUUAUAUCCAAGAACCAACUGAGGGCGAAGAGGUGAAAAGGCUUUGCCUGAGGCUACACAGAGGCCUGGGUUCCACAGGGAGGCUGAAGGAGGAAGGCAGCUGAGGUUUUUAGUGGUUUGACAUUGAGCUCCUGUCCAUAGCUCAGGUGCUUCUCCCUGAUUAAAUCCUGAUGUAACUGUAGGAAGUUGUGUCAUUACCCCCAUUUUAUAGAUGAAAACCCUGAUGGUCAGGAAGUCCUGGGACAAGACAAAAGCUGUUCAGUGGAAACUUUCUGAGGCUAACACUGCAAAGUAUCCUUGGCCUUGACUCUGCACCUAAGCAGCCUUACCUGUAGGGUGACCACAUGCUCUGGUUCACCUGAGUCAAGCCUGGUUUAUACCUGUUGUCCCAGGGUCAGUAGUAAUGGCACCUUCUUUUGCUCUCAAAAGUGCCCCAGUCGGGAUAAUACAUUUAUCAUGUGAUUGAUUACUCUAGUAUCUACAAAAUGGGGAUAUUCAUAUUACCUGCUCAUGGAGUUUUCGCAAGGAAUCAAUGGGAUUUCGCACGUAAAAUGCAUGGCAUCUGGCAUGUACUAAGCACUAAAUAGAUGUUAGUGGUUACUGUUACUGUUAUUAUUAUUAUUAUUAUUAGGAAGGUAUCUGAAGAGGGGGCAGCAAGGAGUAAAGACAUGGUUUCCCACUUGACAUGCCCAUCACGGUCGGCGCUCCCUGGAGUUGGGCAGUGCCUAUUCAAACUGACCUGUUGGGAAUGGCACCAUCCACUCUAGCCUAGAGACCAUUUGGAGGCACUGAGCUUGCCUCUUCCACGUCUCCAUCAGUCACAUUCACUGCUUGGGUUUCUUUGGGUCCCAAAGUUGAAACUGAUUUUUUUUCCCCCUUUUACUCUAAAGUCUAAAGCUUAGAUUUCUUAAAGAGGAAGAAGAGUCACAGAGAAUCCUAUAGAGGAUCCCCUCCCCCCAGCCCCAGCCUGUGCUUAAUUAAGUGAGUGGCUUAAGGGACUUGCCUCCUCUUCAAGAUUAAGAGGUGGGUGUGAAUAUUUUCCUCUGGCCCCCUUAUAUGUUCUUGAUUACAGUAAUAAAAAUGCUAAGCUCUAUUGCCUCUCACUGGAGUAAAGGCAGCUGAAAACUCCUCAUUCCCUGAAGAACCUAAUUGUUGAUUCUAGUGCAUCUAAACAGGUGUUCUUUAGAUUGCUUUUUCUAAUGCCUUUUCACUGGAAAGAUCAAUUUAAAUGUUGCUUUGAGCUAAUCAGUGAUUGCUUCUGUAUUCAUCCAAAUUUAUAUCUUUGCUUCUGCGUGCUAGAUGAGACAUUACUUUCAAAGUCUAUAAACUUAAAUAAGGGAGGUGAUUUCUAAUUUAGCUCUUUGUCCUCUUCUGUCUUCCAUAUUUUAUGCAAAAUAUGCAUGUAUUUCUUUUUGUUAUUUAAAAUCCUAGUUGAAACCUGUGUUUGAACGUCCUGAGUCAUCUUUGGAUGCCCUAUAACGCCACGUGUGGUAUGUCCUACGGAGUGGGUAUUCAAUAAAUAUUUGUGGAAAAGAUAAAUUCAUGCCUUAACCUGGAUUGCAAGCACAUUGGAUUUGUGGUCCCUAGGUGUCUGAGUUCAGGAAUUCUUUCAAUAUUGUCUGAACUUUCUUGUGUCUGCAUCUGUGUUUAUUCUGCUCUCUCUGCCUAGAGUUUCCCCAGUCCCGUCUCUCAGAAAGCUCACGUUCACUCAAGGUUCUCAUCAAAUGCCAGCUGCUCCAUGAAACCAGGCUGCAGUCUCCAACCAGCUCUCCUGGAGUCAGUAUCCGAACAAAGGAUCUGGAGAGGGUUGCAUCUGAUUUUCCAAACCCCACAGUACUCUGCACCUCUCUGAUUUAUCUCAUCUGUGGGUAUUUGCUCCUGGCCUUUUUUCACCCAUGGUGAGCACUUGAAACUUCUUCAGGCGACACAGAGGGUGUACUCUGCUGAACCACAGGUAUAGACUAAAAAAUAGUUGUUGCUUAAUGAAUUGUAGGUGUAUAGUUUUG